CCUACGGGGGGCAGCAGUGGGGAAUAUUGGGCAAUGGGCGCAAGCCUGACCCAGCAACGCCGCGUGAAGGAAGAAGGCUCUCGGGUUGUAAACUUCUUUUAAGAGGGAAGAGCAGAAGACGGUACCUCUUGAAUAAGCUACGGCUAACUACGUGCCAGCAGCCGCGGUAAUACGUAGGUGGCAAGCGUUGUCCGGAUUUACUGGGUGUAAAGGGCGUGCAGCCGGGAAGACAAGUCAGAUGUGAAAUCCCGCGGCUCAACCGCGGAACUGCAUUUGAAACUGUUUUUCUUGAGUACCGGAGAGGUCGUCGGAAUUCGUUGUGUAGCGGUGAAAUGCGUAGAUAUAAGGAAGAACACCGAUGGCGAAGGCAGAUGACUGGACGGCAACUGACGGUGAGGCGCGAAAGCGUGGGGAGCAAACAGGAUUAGAUACCCUAGUAGUC
rnacentral:rRNA from 1 species